ACUCUAUUGAGGCCCCGUAAUUGGAAUGAGUACAAUUUAAAUCCUUUAACGAGGAUCUAUUGGAGGGCAAGUCUGGUGCCAGCAGCCGCGGUAAUUCCAGCUCCAAUAGCGUAUAUUAAAGUUGCUGCGGUUAAAAAGCUCGUAGUUGGAUUUCAGUCGAACCUAUGGGGUCCACUGAUUAAAGGGUUAGAUGGUGAUGUUAGGUUUCUUGCUUGUGUCUACGGAUGCUAGCUUGAACCUUCAUUCCUCUUUCCUGGUGGUUACAUUCAUAGUGUUUAGACAGAAAAUUGCUCGAUAUUUGCUAUCAAUGCUCUUUACCGAGUGUUGAUUCAAGCGAUCGAGACUUUUACCUUGAAAAAAUCAGAGUGCUCAAAGCAGGCGUCCAAAACCUCGAAAGAGGUGCCUAAAAACGGUAUGGUCAACCAUCUAUAUGAUGCGUACCACUACCUUAACUUGAAUGAUCUUGCAUGGAAUAAUGGAAUAGGACCUUGGUUCUAUUUUGUUGGUCUUAAGAAUCCAAGGUAAUGAUUAAGAGGGACAGACGGGGGCAUUUGUAUUGCGGCGCUAGAGGUGAAAUUCUUGGACCGUCGCAAGACAAACUACAGCGAAAGCAUUUGCCAAGAAUGUUUUCAUUAAUCAAGAACGAAAGUUAGAGGUUCGAAGGCGAUCAGAUACCGCCCUAGUUCUAACCAUAAACGAUGCCAACCAGCGAUCAUUCUGAGUAACUAAUUUCAUGACUCGAAUGGAAGCUUCCGGGAAACCAAAGUUUUUGGGUUCCGGGGGAAGUAUGGUUGCAAAGCUGAAACUUAAAGGAAUUGACGGAAGGGCACCACCAGGAGUGGAGCUUGCGGCUUAAUUUGACUCAACACGGGAAAACUCACCCGGCCCGGACACUGAGAGGAUUGACAGAUUGAGAGCUCUUUCUUGAUUCAGUGGGUGGUGGUGCAUGGCCGUUCUUAGUUGGUGGAGUGAUUUGUCUGGUUAAUUCCGAUAACGAACGAGACUCUAGCCUACUAAAUAGACUUGCAGUUUACACUGCAGUACUCCCCCUUAGUCAACCUGUGGGUGGUAGUAUCUCUUGAUGGUUUCGGCUGUUGAGGGCUCUGCUGCUAUUAGCCUACAGAAUUGGCUAGGGUAAGGAUGCUGUAGCACUGUAAGGACUUCUUAGAGGGACAAGCGGCGCUCGCAGCCGCACGAAACAGAGCAAUAACAGGUCUGUGAUGCCCUUAGAUGUCCGGGGCCGCACGCGUGCUACACUGAAGUGGUCAUCGUGCAUACUGUUUCCUGCUCCGAAAGGAGUGGGUAACCGCUUGAACCCAUUUCGUGAUGGGGAUUGGGCAUUGUAAUUAUUGCCCAUGAACGAGGAAUUCCCAGUAAGCGUGAGUCAUUAGCUUGCGUUGAUUACGUCCCUGCCCUUUGUACACACCGCCCGUCGCUACUACCGAUUGAAUGAUUUAGUGAGGACUUCGGACUGGUCAAUCCAGACCAUUGGGAAACUAGUGGUCGGAUUGUGCUGGAAAGAUGUUCAAACUUGAUCAUUUAGA
rnacentral:rRNA from 1 species